rnacentral:rRNA from 1 species
AGCGAACGCUUGUGGCAGGCCUAACACAUGCAAGUCGAACGAAGUCUUCGGAGUUAGUGGCGGACGGGUGAGUAACACAUGGGAACGUGCCUUUAGGUUCGGAAUAACUCAGGGAAACCUUUGCUAAUACCGAAUGUGCCCUUCGGGGGAAAGAUUUAUCGCCUUUAGAGCGGCCCGCGUCUGAUUAGAUAGUUGGGGGGGUAAAGGCUUACCAAGGCGACGAUCAGUAGCUGGUCUGAGAGGAUGAUCAGCCACAUUGGGACUGAGACACGGCCCAAACUCCUACGGGAGGCAGCAGUGGGGAAUCUUGCGAAAUGGGCGAAAGCCUGACGCAGCCAUGCCGCGUGAAUGAUGAAGGUCUUAGGAUUGUAAAAUUCUUUCGCCGGGGACGAUAAUGACGGUACCCGGAGAAGAAGCCCCGGCUAACUUCGUGCCAGCAGCCGCCGUAA